rnacentral:rRNA from 1 species
UACGAAGGGGGCUAGCGUUGUUCGGAAUUACUGGGCGUAAAGCGCACGUAGGCGGAUAUUUAAGUCAGGGGUGAAAUCCCAGAGCUCAACUCUGGAACUGCCUUUGAUACUGGGUAUCUUGAGUAUGGAAGAGGUAAGUGGAAUUCCCAGUGUAGAGGUGAAAUUCGUAGAUAUUGGGAAGAACACCGGUGGCGAAGGCGGCUCACUGGCUCAUUACUGACGCUCAGGCGCGAUAGCGUGGGGAUCAAACAGG